rnacentral:rRNA from 1 species
AUGAACGCUAGCGAUAGGCCUAACACAUGCAAGUCGAGGGGCAGCACAAGGAGCAAUCUGAGGUGGCGACCGGCGCACGGGUGAGUAACACGUAUGCAACCUGCCUGUAAGCGGGGAAUAACCCGUUGAAAGACGGACUAAUACCGCAUAAUACUAAAUUACUGCAUGGUAAUUUAUUUAAACAUUUAUGGCUUACAGAUGGGCAUGCGCAUGAUUAGCUAGUUGGAGAGGUAACGGCUCCCCAAGGCAACGAUCAUUAGGGGUUCUGAGAGGAAGGUCCCCCCACACUGGUACUGAGACACGGACCAGACUCCUACGGGAGGCAGCAGUGAGGAAUAUUGGUCAAUGGACGAGAGUCUGAACCAGCCAAGUCGCGUGCAGGAAGAAUUGUCCUAUGGAUUGUAAACUGCUUUUGCAGGGGAAUAAAGUGCAUCACGUGUGAUGUUUUGUAUGUACCCUGCGAAUAAGGAUCGGCUAACUCCGUGCCAGCAGCUGC